rnacentral:rRNA from 1 species
CAGCAGCCGCGGGAAUACGUAGGUGGCAAGCGUUGUCCGGAAUUAUUGGGCGUAAAGGGCUCGCAGGCGGUCUUUUAAGUCUGAUGUGAAAGCCCACGGCUCAACCGUGGAGGGUCAUUGGAAACUGGAAGACUUGAGUGCAGAAGAGGAGAGCGGAAUUCCAUGUGUAGCGGUGAAAUGCGUAGAUAUAUGGAGGAACACCAGUGGCGAAGGCGGCUCUCUGGUCUGUAACUGACGCUGAGGCUCGAAAGCGUGGGGAGCAAACAGGAUUAGAUACCCCUGUAGUCCCUGUCUCUUAUAC